CCGUCCCCAUGUGGCCCCCGGCGUGGCUGCUCCCAUAACCUGGAAUCACAAGAAGCAUUAGUUAGCAUGGAAUAAGCUUCAACAUCUGACUGGAUCAACAGAACAGAAAUACCAAUUUCCAACCUUACAGCAAUAAAAUAUACAUGUAAAUGUUAGUUUCAAGUGUACGGGAGUACAAUUCUAAAUCUACACAAUGAAAUGUAUAAGCAAUAUAACAAAGCAAUCCAUAACAAUCUCAAACUCGGGACUGUAGUACAUAAACUGUUUAAAUAUUAUUAUUGUUUACAAAUAAAAAAUGCACGAGUAUUUGCUGGAGUUAGACAAAUUAGCUAUUCUCAUGGACAUUUCUUUUUGUGAAAGGAAUGAUCUGCUAGAUAUUAUCAUGGUGAAGGCCCUAUGAUUUCGAAGGUGAAGGUGUAAAGCACGUAACUGCAGAGCAAUUCAUACCAUGUUGAGUCAGUACCGAUACAACUGCUAGCUAUUCUGACUCUACGUUACAAGUUAAGUAUUAGAAUUGAUGAAGAGAUCAUACCCUGGUGAGAUGAGCCGGGGUAGCCUGCAGGAGGAUAUCCACCUUGAGUUGGGUAGCCACCCGGCUGAGGGUACCCAUAUUGUGGUGGGUAUGCGCCGGGUGGAGGAGGAUACGCCCCUGGGGGAGGUGGGUAUGCUCCUGGUUGCGGUGGGUAGCCCUGCGGAGGGUAUCCCUGCGGGGGGUACCCAUGGCCACCGGCAACGCCGUGCAUCAAGUUUGAGAAGAGCCCCUUGUCGCUCUCGUCAUGCUUGUCUUUCCCUCCUCCCAUUGCUCCCCCAAGUUUACCUAAAGAAAGAACGAGCAGAGUAUAUAUCAAACUGUGAGCCAGCUUAAGUGUAGACAGACAGAAUAUGAAUGUAGAUUGUAACAGGUUGAAGAAUGCGGUGAUCAAAAAUCAAAUCUGACAUAAUCCCUCUGUCCCAGUAUUAUAAGGCGUAAACAUUUGUUGGGCACCAAAUUGAGCUGCGGACGGUCCGGCCCUAAGGUCGGACGGUCCGCGCCUGUAGCCCGGACGGUCCACACGUGCACAGAACAGAUUAGGGUUCCGAGUUUUGUGCAACGGUUGUUAGCUAGAUUCGCGGAAUUAGCUCGGAAAUUAGUUUGUAAAGGGUCUAGCCCCCUCCUCUAUCUCACAUUUAUUUCCUGUACAAUUAGGAGUAGUUUUAGUUUAGUUCUAGUUUAGCUUCUCAAUCCCCAAAUUCUCCGCUUCUCUUCGACUCUACGUUGAUUAGAGGAGUCUAGGUCGGUCUGCUCGAGCCUAGACAUCACCUAGGAUCUCUCCUCCCAGACAGGGUCCCUCCCAGGAGCGAGAUCCAGGCACCGCCGGCGAUCUUCCGCCGCCCCUGCGCACGCGCGGACCGUCCGGUCCUAGGGCGCGGACCGUCCGGCCGUCAGGCAGGAAACCCUUGCCCCGCGCCAGGCCGCGGACCGUCCGGCCCCUGGCCGCGGACCGUCCGCCCCUGUGCAGAGAGCACUAUCGCUGGUUCGUGUUGAGUGAUUGGCGCCCCAAAAAAGUGUCAACAAUAUCUCUAGUUCAAAGGCCAAAAAAUGUAUUAAUUCUCUCUAUGCUAUUGCGUCGAUGUAUACAUGUCUAGAUAGAGCACAUCUUAUAUUAUAGGACUAGAAUAAAAAAUGGUUAAACUUUAUAUUCUGGGAUGGAGAGUGUGUCUGCAAAAGAAUGCACGGUAAUGGAACAGGUGAUGCAGGCACAAAAGUGGUCUAGCUUCAGUAUGGAUGUAGCAGUGUACCGAGCAAAUUGAAUGGUAUAUAUUGGAACAGGAUGAAUGCAAUAGUGUGAGAGCUUUUUUUUUCUAGAUGAAGGAAGCUUUAUUAAUAACAAAGUUCUGGCUUUCCCUCUCCGUAAGAACAUUUUCUAUCCAUAAACUACAUAAUGGCUAAACAUAGGUAUCCCUCUCUGAAUGUUUGCUUCUACUUCCCUCUCCUUACACAACUACUGACCCAAUCUUACAUGAUCCACUGCAGGAUCAGAAGAAUGCUAAAACAGAGCAGCUAAAAGAAGAUUGCUGUGUACUUGCCGAAGGAAGAAAAAAAAUGAUUUGUUUGAUCUAAGAGAUGGUAGUUAAUUGCUCAUUGCAACUCAGAAAAAAAUGAUUUAUCUGAUCUAAGAGAUGAUAAUUAAUUGUGCAUUGCAACACGGACUACAUGACGAGGCAAUCGAUCCUUAGGCCCCUUUGGUUAGGCUUUUCAAACUGCUUUGGCUUUUAAAAAAGCAAAAAAAGCCAACCAAAGAGGUUGGCUCCCAUCUAAAGCCAAAGCAAAAGGCAGCUUUUAGCUAAUACAUGUACAACUUUCAUAACAGACUUCCACUUCUUUCAUUGACUGUGAAGUUGGGAAAAUACGUAAAAUUACUCACGACAACGAUUAAUGUGCAAUCAGGCCUCAUGUGCAAGCGAAAUGUGCAAUCAGGCCUCAUGUGCAAGCGUGCAAGCGUGCAAGUAAGACCUAAUUGCACAGUAGUCGUUGCCAUUACUCACUGCCAAUAGUUAUGAAGAUAAUGAUUCAUUUUACCUACACACAUCUAUUCUUCAUGCAACCAAGCUCCUCGUCUAGCGCUCCACCACCUCGGUUGGUCGCCAAGGGCGAGCAUGACCUCUGCCACAGCAGGCGAGCUUGGGUCCACCAUCGCGAGAAAGCACGACCUUGGUCAAGGAUCCAUCCGGAGGAAGAAGACAAGACAGACAGGGUCCACUUGUCACUGAGUGAAGCUAACGGCAGUUUUUUAGAAGCCACAACUAUUGAACCAAACGAUUCUUAACUUUCGCACAUUCCAUAACCCACGGCUACUUUUCCACCCGUGGAAGAGUGGAAGACCCAGAAAUCUUCAAAAGCCUAAGAAAAUAUAAUACUCAUACUAUAAAGAUAUCGUCUUGCCCAGUUUUUGCCUAUGUUUAGUUGCAUUUUAUUGCUUGGUACACAUAUAUAAGUCUAUUUGCACUAAUGGAUGAGCCUAGGCAAGUGCCCACGCUCGCUAGGCCAUGAGUCCGCCCUUGUUUUCCACAAUCCACAACUCACAACAACCUUUUCAAAAUCCACAAGACCCUUAGGCUAUUCUCAUUGGUUCUCAGUGGGUAGGUAUCAUAUUUGUAUUUCUAAGAUGCCAUGUAAACAAGAAAGGAAUGAAAUCUUUGUUAAAAUAGUCUCUCGCAAUAGAGAGUUUCUUUCCGUGCGAUUUCAUAUAUAGACAAUAUGUCUAGAUAAUAGUGUAGACAUAGCUUCAUCACAUGAAACUCAUUUCAUCUCUUUCUUCAUUAAUUGUUUUACCACAUCAUCUAGAUCACUGAUAUGCCACAUCAUUCAAUGAGAAUGAAAAAAGUUAUGUGAUGUAGGCAGUUGGAAUGAUAUGCAGUAGGAAACUGAAAAGAUACCCGUAUAACGGUGGAGGAUCAUUCCAAUUUCCUACUGCACAUCACUUGAACAUGCUAGCAUCGGCCAUACGUAUAACUGAUUGCAUAUGUUAUACUCCUCUCCUUGUUAUCAUAUAUAAUAAAUAGUUCACCCUAACCGCUACACUUCUCUCCCCACCCCCCCACCCGGCCACCCCCCACAAAAAAAAGGUAGGGUCUACUGGCCACCCAAAUUACAGCGAUAAAACAUUUUAAUUUACAAUUAAUCAUCCACCCUAAUCAUUGCUUGACCCCAUAAAAAUCCUGUACGCACGGUAAAUUUCCCCUCCACCAUCACACAGUCGAUCAAACAGGGGAGCGUUAAUUCGGAACAUCCUCACAAGUGCAGCCACGAACUUCAGACCGGCAGAUCACACACCAUCCACAGAACUCUACUACGUGGUGACGAGCAAAAACCAACGAUCUACACGCACCGGACCGGAUGCACCCCUAAACCCGUGGAACCAAAAACAAUAAAUCUAACCGAAUUAUGCGAAGGUAUUUAUAUAGAUACUAGAGAGACAACAAAGGUGGGAGUAUAGUAUAGAUGACCAACGUGGGAGGAGAGUUGAGCAUACCGAACGACGAGCCGACGACGCGAACUCCGGCGCCCAGAAGCAGAACAGGUAUGCAGCCGAUCUCGGGCGGCGAUGUUCCUGUGGGCGGCGGGUGCUGGUUUGGCCGUUCUCCUUCCCCCAGGCUGGCGGCUAUAUAGCCGAGGAGACGGCGACAAGGAAGGAGCCAGGAUGGUGGCCGGAGGAGCAAACGCGUGGCGCCGAGUCAGGCCGCCAUGCGGGCUCGGGGCGCGUUACGGUUGCUGCGACCUGCGACUUGCGCGUCGCGAGCGCGUGCCGGCGACCGGCGUGCGUGGGAGGGGAAGGGGAGGAAAGGAAGAAAGCAACGCGACGAAGAACCGAACCGAGCCCCACAUCACCAGCCGGGCCUACAGCGCAGUGACCCGGAUCGAAACAUGUAAUUCUUGUGCCAUUUAUUGUCUUAGGAGAAAACAUAUUUAUGCUUCAUCACAAUAUCAAUAUGGGAAGCGAUUUUACGAAAAUACUUCUGCCCUCAAAGUCACACCUCACAGCAGUGCGGCCAACGGCCGCAUCUGUUCGGCUGCAUAGCUGCGAUUUAUGGACUGUGGAAGAGCUACGACAUGUGAAAAAACUGAUGCGGGCUGUUAAAAAGCUAAAAUCGUUUGGUGGAAACCAUUAAAAAUCGUUAAAUGUUUUUUGAUAUAUAUUUCACGGUUCCAUCCAAAAGCCACUAAAAUCAGGUCUAUAGGUGCUUUAAAUUUUGCACUACGAGAAAGUCAGCUUUUAAAAAAAAACUCUUUAUUGUAUUCAAUCCUUUGGUUUGACUUUUAGCUUUUAGGGAGCAAAAACCAAAAUUAAAAGCUAAACCAAACAUACCCUUAGACUACUAUAAUUGUAAUUGAUAAAGACAAAAUAUUGUAGUAACCACAGCGAACAUGGCUCCCAUGAAUUUCAUGCGCGAUGCAGCUUUCGUUCUCUAUAAAUUAUUGAUUGGUUUGUAUUAUGAUAGGAUAGAGCUAUUUUGUCCUCAAUUUAGUAUUGUUUGAAUUGAUUAUAUAUGAAACUUAAAAAAUAAAAAUUAUGCUUAAAUAUUGAACCAUCUUUUCAAAAUAUCCUGGACAGAACCACUCCAAUUGACUCUGAAACCAAAUGCUACCUAAACUAUGCUCAUACUCACUACCUAAACUAUGCUCAUACCCACUCCAUGAUUUCAUUAUAAGAACAGAAUUUAGAGAACCAAACUCUACCUAAACUAUGCUCAUACCCACUGCAUGAUUUUCAUUAUAAGAACAGAAUUUAGAGACAUGACUCGAUCUACUAUUUCAGCCUCAGAGCCUCAGGCAAGCAGGGAAACGGUUGAUGUCAUCAGAUCAACACGUCUUUUCAGACACCAGCAACAACGUACCGAAAUCGAUUGGUCAGAUAAAGCCACGAUUUAUUACUGGCAAUGGAUAUAAUCUUCAGAGCGCUCCAUCCACAAGACCAACAUAUACAGCAUAUCAGCAAAUGGUUAUUUAUGUCACUUAUUAGCAUUAUGUCACUCGCCACAAGCUGGAUUACUGGAAAUACAGAUGAAGGAUGAGUAACGCUGAAAAGGUAUUACUGGCAACACAUGUCCUGGAAGCCUGAGUUCAGCUACGAUCAACCAUGGAGGGCACAUCACUUCCACUUCUUGAACUUGCCGCCGCCGAACAUGCCGUGCCCGUGCUUGCCAUGCUUGAACUUGCCGUGCCCGUGCUUGAACUUGCCGUGGUGGCCGUGACCAUGCUUGAACUUGCCGUGGCCACCAUACCCGUGGCCGUAACCACCGUGACCAUAGCCUCCAAAGGCCCCAUGUCCACCGUGUCCGCUAUGGCCAUGAGAAAGCUUGUGUGCUCCAUAAGCGGCAGCGGCCGCGGCAGCACCUCCCGCUAGCAUUGCCCCCGUCCCCAUGUGGCCCCCGUGGCCCCCGCCGUGGCUGCUCCCAUAACCUGGAAUCACAAGAAGCAUCAGUUAGCAUGGAAUGAGCUUCAAUAUUUUACUGGAUCAACAGAACAGAAAUACCAAUUUCCAACAUUACAGCUACAGAAUGUAUAUGUAAAUGUUGGUUUAGUACAAUUCUAAAUCUGGACAAUAAAAUGUAAUAUAUAAGCAAUAUAACAAAGCAAGCAAGCCAAAACAAUCUCAAACUACGUACUAUAUAAACUGUUGUAUUAUUAUUACUUACAAAUACGAGUAUUUGCUGGAGUUAGACAAAUUAGCUAUUCUCAUAGCCAUUUCUUUUGUGAAAGGAAAGCUCUACUAGAUAUUAUCAUGGUGAAGGCUCCAUGAUUUCCAAGGUAAAGCACAUAACCGCAGAGUAAUUCAUACCAUGUUGAGUCAGUACCAAUGCAACCGCUAGCUAUUCUAAUAUCACUCUACGUUACAAACUAAGCAGAGUAAGUCAUACCAUGUUGUGUCAGUACCGAUGCAACUGCUAGCUAUUCUGAUCUCACUCCAAGUUACAAACUAAGUAUAGAACUGAUGAAGAGGAGAUCAUACCCUGGUGAGAUGAGCCGGGGUAGCCUGCAGGAGGAUAUCCACCUUGAGGUGGGUAGCCACCUGGCUGAGGGUACCCAUAUUGUGGUGGGUAUGCCCCAGGUGGAGGAGGAUAUGCCCCUGGAGGAGGAGGAUACGCCCCUGGGGGAGGCGGGUAUGCUCCUGGUUGCGGUGGGUAGCCCUGCGGAGGGUAUCCCUGGUGGGGGUACCCAUGACCACCGGCAACGCCGUGCAUCAUGUUCGAGAAGAGCCCCUUGUCGCUCUCGUCAUGCUUGUCUUUCCCUCCUCCCAUUGACCCCGCAAGUUACCUGAAGAAAGAACAUGCAGAUUAUAUAUAUCAAACUGUGAGCCAGCUGAAGUGUAGACUGAGAGAAUAUGAAUGUAGAUUGUAACACGUUGAAGAAUAAGGUGAGAAAAUCUGACACAGCAGGCGAGCGCGGCUCGGCCACCACAGGUCUACUGCCUCGGCCGAGCGCGACCUCGAGCACAGGUUUACUGCCUGGGCCGAGCGCGACCUCGGCUAAUAACCCACAACUGCUUUUCCACAAUCCACACAACUUUUUCAAAAGCCACAACACCCUUAGGCUAUUCUCAAUGGGUAGGUUUCAUAUUUGUGUUUCUAAGAUGCCACAUAAACAAGAAAGAAAUGAAAUCUUUGUUGAAUAGUCUCCCCAGUAGAGAGUUUCGUUGGGUGCGAUUUGGUAUGUAACAAGCAAUAGACAAUAUGCCUAGGUAUUUUACCCCAUGAAACUCAUUUUGUCUCUUUCUUCAUCGAUUGUUUGCCACAUCGUCCAGAUCACUGAUAUGGCACAUCAUUUAAUGAGAAUGAAAAAAAUUUAUGCAGAGGCAAUUGGAAUGAUGUACAGUAGAAAACUGGAAUGCUACCCAUAUAAUGGUCGAGUAUCAUCCCAAUUUCCUACUGCACAUCACUUGAGCAUGCUAGGAUCGGCCAUACGUAACUGAUUGCAUAUGGUAUACUCCUAUUGGCAAGCAGAACAGACCCUGCUUGUUAUCAUAUAAUAGUUCACCCUAAGCGCUACCUUUCUUCCCUACAAAAGGUAGGAUCUACUGGUCACCCAAAUUCCAGCGCUAAAACAUUUUAAUUUACAAUUAACUCCUCCGCCCUAAUCAUUGCUGGAGCUGGACCCCCAUAAGAUCAUGUAUGCACGAUAAAAUUCCCCUCCACCACCACCCAGAUCGAUCAAACAGGGGAAGGUUAAUUCGGAGGAUCCUCACAACUAUAGCCACGCUCACGCACUUGAGAUCGGCAGAUCACACACCAUCCAUAGAACUCUACCACAACGAUGACAAGCAAAAACCAACGAUCUACACGCAUCAAAUGAACCCCUAAACUCGUGGAACAAAAAAGUAAAUCUAACCGAAUUACGCGCAGGUAUUUAUAUAGAGAGACAAAAGGUGGGAGGAGAGUUGGGCAUACCGAACGACGACGCGAACUCCGGCGCCCUGAAGCAGCACAGAUGUGCAGCCGAUCUCGGCCGGCGAUGUUCCCUGUCGGCGGCGGGUGCUGGUUUGGCCGUUCCCCUUCCCCCCGGCUGGCGGAUAUAUAGCCGAGGAGACGACGAGAAGGAAGGAGCCAAGAUGGGAGCCGGGAGGAGCAAACGCGUGGCGCCGAGUCAGGCUGCCAUGCGGGCCCGGGGGUGCUAUUCGCGGGGCCGGCGCGUGGAUAGGCUUUGACCUGCACGCACCAUGCCCGCUGCCAUGCGGGCCCGGGGCGAGUCACGGUUGCUGCGACUUGCGCGUCGCGAGCGCGUGCGACUGGGAGGGGAAGGGAAGAAAAGGAAGAAAGCAAAGCGACGAAGGAACCGAAUCGAGCCCACACACCAGCCGGCAGCCGGACCCACCAAGCAGUGACCCGGGUUUACGAGCGGACCGUGAUGUUUGCGUGCUAUCCACGCGUGCUGACGCGCGUCGGGGGGCCCACCCCUCGCGCGGAAUGCGGCCAAACCUUUUUGUGAUUCGGCCCAGGAUGGAUCCAUUAGCCUGUCCUUCUCGUGUGGACGGACUGCUGGGCAGGCCCAGGUGAGCCGAGUUGGGCCUGGUUCUAAUUUAUGAUUGAGUCGGCAAAAAGGUAGAUGUACGUGUCAAGGACCAAUCUGUCAGCUGAUGAUUAUGAUGGUCACUAUUUUGCACAUAGCUCAUAUCUAAUUAGGAAUUAGGGGGUGUUUAGUUUUUAAGGACUAAGUUUUAGUACCUCCAUUUUAGUCCUUAAAUUGCUAAAUAUAAAAACUAUGUAUUUGAUAAUUUAGAGACUAAAAUAUAAUAAAAUGGAGAGACUAAAAAUUAAUCCGUAGAAACCAAACACCCUCUAAAUAUUAAAUAUACAAAGUUGAUAGAUUUUUUAUCCUAUUGUGAAAGCACAGAAAUAUGUACUCGUCUCAUGAGGUUUUGGGAUGUUAUUGAAGACCGUAAUAUCGUUCUAACUCAGUUAUGGAUUUUCCCAUAUAAGUUUGCAAUGGACAAUAAUCCAAAAUAUGUCAUAUCAUUUCUUCUAUUUUUCACAUUAGAUUUUUAGGAGUUUUAUAACAUAUCAACAAUAUAAUUACCUCAUUUUUUCCUAACAAGGUUUUUGAGGAGUGAAGUUCAUUUAAGCUCCAUUUGGCACAGUUUCUCCUCAAAGUGCUCCUUCAAAGGAGCCAAAAUACUUGAAGAGGGGACACAUUUUGUGGUUUCAGCCUCUCACCCAAAAAUGGCUCUACCUCCUCUAAUAUUUACCAUGAAGCUAUUCCUCCUCAAAAAGUAUUUGGUAUAGCUUCUUCGUCUCCUCUGUAGAAGUUACUCCUAGAAUCGGAGCUAGAGUUCCCAAACAUGCCUUCAUCUCAACACUUAAUUCGAUCGAGUGUUGAGAAACAAUCCAUUAUAUAACAAAUUAGCGAAUUGGGGAAAAUCAACCCAUGGAUCAACAACAUGUAAUAGUUGGUUCUAAGCAUAUAUGUGUCAGCGUGUGGAGAAGGUUAUUGUCGCCAAGACGCAUUCAAGGAUCCUAUUAUGGGAAGUGAAAGUUGCCUAGAGGGGGAUGAAUAGGCGAAACCUGAAAUUUAUAACUUUUAAACACACACUACAAGCCGGAGUUAGCGUUAGAAUUAAAUUCAAGUCCGAGAGAGGGGGAAAACAAAUCAAAUGAGAAUCAAGCGAAUGAACACGAUGAUUUGUUUUACCGAGGAUGGGUUCCAAAGAACCUAGUCCCCGUUGAGGAGGUCACAAAGACCGGGUCUAUUUGGGCCCUUUCCCUCUCUCAAAUGGUCACUUAGACCGAGUGAGCCUUCUUCCUUAAUCUCAUGGGUCACUUAGACCUUGCAAGGACCACCACACACUUGGUGUCUCUUGCCUCGCUUACAAAGCACUUGAAAAUAAGAAUGGAAAAGAAAAAGGCCAAACCAAGCAACAAGGGCAACAAAAGAACACAAGAGUUCCUCUCACAAAUCCUAAAGCACUUAGAGUUGAUUUGGGGACUUUGAGUGGAUCGAUCGCUUUGAUUGUGUCUUGGAGUGGAGUCUUUUGCUCUUAUAUUGAAUGCAAUAUUCAGAAUGCUUGGAUGCAUAUGAAUGAGGUGGUUGGGGGGUAUUUAUAGCCCCCAACCACUUCCAUAGCCGUUGGGGAGGCUGCUGGCGAUGGGCGCACGGACAGUUCGGUGUGCCACCGGACAGUCUGGUGUGCCACCGGACAGUCUGGUGCACCACCGUACAGGCACUGUUCCUUGUCCGGUGCGCCGCCACGUCACCCAACCGUUAGGGUCUAGAGCUGGUCGACCGUUGGAGAGCUUGUCUUCUUGCGGCACCAGACAGUCUGGUGCUCUCUGACUUCGCUGCUCUGAAUUCUACCGUGGUACUGUGAUGCAUUGUUCACCCGUCAGAGUUGACCGUUGCGUGCAGAUAGUCGUUGCUCCGCUGGCUCACCGGACAGUCCGGUGAAUUACAGCGGAGCGCGCCUUGGAAUUCUCGAGAGUGGCUGGUUUGAUGUUGUACGGUCCUGGUGCACCAGACACUGUUCGGUGGCACACCGGACAGUCCGGUGCGCCAAUCUCUAGCACACUUGAGUCCUUUUGCUCCUUUAGAAUUGUGUCCCUAACUUGAUUCUUUUAUUGGUUUGUGUUGAACCAUAUGCACCUGUAAUACAUGAAUUCUAGACAAACUAGUUAGUCCAUAGGUUUGCGUUGGUCGUCAACCACCAAAAUUAAUUAUAGGAAAUGGAUGGCCCAAUUUCCCUUUCAAUCUCCCCCUUUUUGGUGAUUGAUGCCAACACAAACCAAAACAAAUUAAAGUGCAGAAAUGAAACUAGUUUGCAUUUGUGAUGAAUGUGCAUAGGUUACUUGGAGUUAAACCAAUUUGAAAGUCUUACUAAGAAUAAGCGUGAAUGGAUUGGCUUUCUUUUAUUUUACAUUUUGGACCACAUUUGCACCACUUGUUUUGUUUUUGCAAAUCUUUUAGAAAACUUUUCAAAACUUUUGCAAGUAGUCAAAGGUAUAUAAAUAAGAUUGCAAGAAGCAUUUUCAAGAUUUGAAAUUCUCCCCCUGUUUCAAAUGCUUUUUCUUUGACUAAAUAAAAGCUCCCCCUGAAUGAAAUUCUCCUCUUAGCUUUUAAGAGGGUUUUGAAGUAGAUACCAAUUUGAAAUUUUACUUUCAUAAAUCAAGUGAAACAUAGAUACCAAUUGAUAUCAAUUGAGAAUAUUUUACUUUUGAAGAUACCAAUUGAAAGUUCAUACUAAUUUAAAAUUGGCUUGAAUAUCAAUUGAAAAACAAACAUUUUGUGAAAAUUUUGAAAUUUGAAAUGGUGGUGCAGUCCUUUUUCUGUGGGAUUAAUACUCUCUCCCCCUUUUGCAUUAAUCGCCAAAAACGGAGAACUUGAGAGCCCUUUAAUACUUUCUCCCCCAUUGGUAAAAGAAAUAUGAGUGAAAGAUUAUACCAAUUUGAGAGUUUGUGGAGUAGCGACAAAGUUUAAAUGACACCGUCAGAGUUUGGAGUGGAAGCCUUGUCUUUGUCGUAUCCUCCAUUUCCCUUUCAAUCUACGACUUAGUAUAGAAUUACACUUGAAAACACAUUAGUCGUAGUCUUGGCACAAGAAGAAUAGGAAAUAGACAUUUGUACCAAAUGAAAGAGACAUGAUCAUAGGUAUAUAAAUAAGCUAUGUGUGCAAUGUUUCAAUCAAAAUUCCGAGAAUCAAGUAUAUUUAGCUCAUUCCUAAGUUUGCUAAAGGUUUUCUCAUCUAGUGGCUUGGUAAAGAUAUCGGCUAAUUGGUUCUUGGUGUUGACAUAAGCAAUUUCGAUAUCUCCCUUUUGUUGGUGAUCCCUCAGAAAGUGAUACCGAAUGUCUAUGUGCCUAGUGCGGCUAUGUUCAACGGGAUUAUCCGCCAUGCGGAUUGCACUCUCAUUAUCACAUAGGAGAGGGACUUUGCUCAAUUUGUAGCCAUAGUCCCUGAGGGUUUGCCUCAUCUAAAGUAAUUGCGCACAACAAUGUCCCGCGGCAAUAUACUCGUCUUCGGCGGUAGAAAGAGCUACUGAGUUUUGUUUCUUUGAGGCCCACGACUCCAGGGAUCUCCCUAGAAACUAACAAGUCCCUGAUGUGCUCUUUCUGUCAAUUUUACACCCUGCCCAAUCGGCAUCGGAAUAUCCAGUUAAAUCAAAUGUGGAUCCCUUGUGACACCAAAGCCCAAACUUAGGAGUGUAAACUAAGUAUCUCAUGAUUCUCUUCACGGCCCUAAGGUGAACUUCCUUAGGAUUUGCCUGAAAUCUUGCACACAUACAUAAAGAAAGCAUAAUAUCCGGUCGAGAUGCACAUAAAUAGAGUAAAGAUCCUAUCAUCGACCGGUAUACCUUUUGAUCUACGGAUUUACCUCCCGUGUCGAGGUCGAGAUGUCAAUUGGUUCUCAUGGGUGUCUUGAUGGGUUUGCCAUCCUUCAUUCCAAACUUUUUUAAGUAUUUCUUGAAUGUACUUUGUUUGGCUGAUGAAGGUGCCAUCUUGGAGUUGCUUGAUUUGAAAUCCUAGGAAAUACUUCAACUCCCCCAUCAUUGACAUCUCGAAUUUUUGUAUCAUGAUCCUACUAAACUCUUCACAAGUUGACUUGUUAGUAGACCCAAAUAUAAUAUCAUCAACAUAGAUUUGGCAUACAAACAAGUCUUUUGCAACAAUUUUAGUAAAGAGAGUAGGAUCGGCCUUUCUGACUUUGAAGCCAUUAGUGAUAAGAAAAUCUUGCAGGCAUUCAUACCAUGCUCUUGGGGCUUGCUUGAGUCCAUAAAGCGCCUUUGAGAGUUUAUAAACAUGGUUAGGGCACAUAUACUCCACCAUCCAGUCUUUUGCCACGGAGGGUACACGCUACUCUCGCCAUCUCUCCACUCCCAUUGUGUGGUGGCCUUUCUGGUAUUGGUCUAACCAAGGCAGAGCUUACCCAUGAUGAGACAUGUGGCCAGUUAAAAGGUACUCGAUCAUCAAGCCUACAUCGGCUCGGUCCUUAAGCGACUCAAACAAAGACACUACACCGAGACUCCUUUCUCGUGCAAGUCACCCACCCGGUCUCGUUUUUAUUAUGUAAACCCAAAGUUUGGUAUCUGACAAAGGUACACUUUUCAGAUGUUGAACCCAUCAUGGCCAUGAUGGAUUCACCAUCAUAGUUCUUUUCUUUGUAAAAAUUCCCAUCAAGUGUAAAUCAUCACCUUUUGUUUUAAAACAAAACAUUUUGUUUUCUAAAGCAAGGCUAAGCAUUAGAAAACUUGUUUAAAUAAAACGGGUAAUAAGGAAUGGUAACCACUUUUCCAAGGAAGGAAAUGCAUCAAUUGUUUAGCACACAAUUCCUAUCACCUAAUGCAUCAUAUAAGGUGAUAAAGAUUUUAAAACAAGGAAAAGGGAUAAUGCACCGGGGCUUGCCUUGUGUUGCAGGAGGUUCUGGUUCCACACCACAGAUGUCGAAGUAAAAGUUGUUCUCCACUAGAGGAUUCUCAGUCUGGGAGACAACCUCUUCCUCUACUACAGUUUCUUCCUCGUGUUCAAUUCAUGAUAAUACAUGUACAUGAAUGCUUAUGCUAUGUCAUGAAUAUGCAGUUACUCAAUAGAAAUAUAGUAAGUUGCAUCUUGAAUACAACUUUCCUUCAUGGUACAAAUUAAUCACUAAGGUUUUCUAAUUAGGUAUUCCUUUAGGAUUAGUAUUAAGUAAUUAAUCCUAUGAAGCUAGUUAUUGGGUUUCUAGUCAAACAAUGCCCAAAUGAUUUCAAACUUCACUUAGGGGCUCUAAUCACCAUAUUAAGCCUACUUAAAAAGUUUUAUAAUUUUUGGAAUUAUUUAACUAUUUCUAAAAUUUUAAAAGACUUGGGUUAAGCACCUUUAAAUGCUACACAAUUCCAGGUUUGGGAUAAAAAUCUUGGAAUUAUUUUUAUUAAAUACUAUGUGAUUUUAGGAGUCUAGCAAAAUUUGUCUCAUGAUUUUACCAUUUUUCUACUAUUUCUUACAAAUUUCCCAAGCUGACAGUAAAAACAAAAGGAUAAAACGUGAAUAGUAAUGGGCUGUAUGUGGCUCGAGUCGGCCCGCGAACAGGGAAAAUGCGCGCGCCCGCGUUGUUCAAUUUGCAUCGGGGCCCCUAGGAUUUCAAAACAUCGUGAAGUGCCUCGUGGCACUGUUCUAAUGUGUCACUGACAUCUUCACUUAGACCCUUCCCUUUUAUCUCUUUUACAACAUUACGCCCUGUAACACCCUGAAUUUGCGGGUAUAAAAUUUCUUUCUAAUUAUCUCCCAAAUUCAUGUGUUACUAUUCUCUCUCUAGUUUCUAUCUAUCUCUAGAUUUUCUCUCUCCCUCUCUCUCUUUCUUUUAAGUAGAAUUAGCUUAAGUUAGUAGAUGUUAAUUAUUUAUUUUUGCCAAAACACUAUGGGUCAUGACAUAUUGCAUCAUGCUGAGCUUAAAUAUCCUUUGAAUUGUUGCACAUGUUUGAAUUAGUUUGAAUUUGAAACCUGAUUUGAAUUUGGAAUUGAAAACCCUAGAGAAAAGAAAUAGAAAAGGAAUUAGGAAAUUCAGGAAAAAGGAAAAAGCCAUUCUGGCCCAAACCAGCCCAGCUCGGCCCAGCCAGGUCGCGCGCCCGCGCCGCCUGACAGGUGGGUUCCACCUGUCAGCGGCAACUCCCUCCCCCGCGCGCUCUCUCUCUCCCGCUCGCUGCCUAGUGGGGCCAGGUUGUCGGCGCUAGUUUCUUCACCUCGAGCGCCCCUCUCCCCUCUCUGCCUCGUGGACCCGCGCUGCUAGUUGCUGAGCCGUUACCCCAGCGCACCCGUCCUCUCUCUCUGCGCCGUGGGUCUCCCCUCUUGAGAGCACCUAGAGGGGGGGGUGAAUAGGUGAUCCUGUAAAAACUUAAACUUAUAGCCACAAAACUUGAUUAGGCGUUAGCACAGUUUAUGCCAAGUGGCUAGAGAGGAGUCAAAACACAAUAACCACAAGAAUCCAAUCACAGAGAUGACACAGUGGUUAUCCCGUGGUUCGGCCAAGUACAAAACUUGCCUACUCCACGUUGUGGCGUCCCAACGGACGAGAGUUGCACUCAACUCCUCUCAAGUGAUCCAAUGAUCAACUUGAAUACCACGGUGUUCUUGCUUUUCUUUUCUCAAUCCCGUUUGCGAGGAAUCUCCACAACUUGGAGCCUCUCGCCCUUACAAAAGAUGUUCACAGAGAAUCACAGAGCAAGGGAGGGAUUAGCAACUCACACACGACUCAAAGAUCACAGCGAAUACGCACACACAAGACCAAGACUUGAGCUCAAAAGACUAGCACACUAGAACGGAGCUCAAAUCACUAGAAUGUCGAACAAGUGCGCGAGAUUGAUGUGUGAGUGAUCAAGAGUGCUCAAGGAAUGCUUGGGUGUACUCCUCCAUGCGCCUAGGGGUCCCUUUUAUAGCCCCAAGGCAGCUAGGAGCCGUUGAGAACACAUCUGGAAGGCUAUCCUUGCCUUCUGUCGUCGGGCGCACCGGACAGUCCGGUGCACACCGGACACUGUCCGGUGCCCGAUUUGUUUCCUUAAUAGGCGCAGCCGACCGUUGCAGACCGUUGCAGAUCUGGCGCACCGGACAGUCCGGUGCACACCGGACAGUCCGGUGCUUCCUUCCGACCGUUGGCUCGGCCACGUGUCGCGCGCCGAUCGCGCGGCCGACCGUUGGCUCACCGGACAGUCCGGUGCACACCGGACAGUCUGGUGAAUUUUAGCCGAAGUCGCCGGAGAAAAAACCCGAGAGCGGCCUCUUCGGCCGAGGCAGCCUGGCGCACCGGACACUGUCCGGUGCACCACCGGACACUGUCCGGUGCACCACCGGACAGUCCGGUGCCCCAGACCGAAACAGCCCCUUGGCUGUACACAGCCAAGUCUUCUCUUCUCUUCUUCUUUCUGUUUCUAACACUUAGACAAGAUAUUAGUACACAAAACCAAUGUACUAAGGCUUAGAAACAUACCUUUACUUGUGAUUUGCACUUUGUUCAACCGUGGGCACAUUUUCACAUUUAAGCACUUGUGUUUGCACUCAAUCACCAAAAUACUUAGAAAUGGCCCAAGGGCACAUUUCCCUUUCAAUCUCCCCCUUUUUGGUGAUUUAUGCCAACACAACAUAAAGCAACUAGAACAAGUGCAAAAUUACUUCAAAUAAAACUCAAAUUGAUUUUGAUUCAAUUUUGGCAUAUAUGGAUCAUCCUUUGCCACCACUUGGUUUGUUUUUGAAAUCAAAUUCAAAUUUCUAUCUCUAAGUCAAACACACAUGUUGAAGCAUAAAGAGAGUCAUUCCAAAAGAGAUUGAUCAAAGAUUUCAAAAACUCCCCCUAUUUCCCAUAAUCAACACUUCUCCCCACAAGAAACCAACUUUUGACAAUAGAGACAAUAAGAGACAAUAAAAGCUUUUGACAACACAAAAACUCUAUUCUACUAUUUUCAAAAUCUCUCAAGUGGUAGCUGAUCCAUUUAUCGCUUUGGCCUUUAUUUUCUCCCCCUUUGGCAUCAAGCACCAAAACGGGAUCAAUCUUGGCCCUUUUAACCCCAUUGCCUCACCAAAAUCUUCAAUUAAGAGCAAAUGGCAAUAAGAGUUUAUGAGAUGAACUUGGAAUUAGUUACCUUCUCAUCAGAGUGCAGUGGAAGUCUUUCAUGGUCCAAGUCCACCUUUUCCCUUUCAAUUCUCCUUCGAGACUCAAUCAAGCAAACUCAAGCACAUGGUUAGUCUCAAAGGGUCAAGUUGUAACACAUCUCCCCCUAAACGUGUGCAUCACUUUGCAACGGACUUUGUGAGGUCCAGGGAGUGUUUGUACAACUUGAGCACCACAAUAAGCAACACAAUGCAAAAAGGAACAUGAUCAAAGGCAUAAACACAUGUAUGCUACAGUUCAAUCCAGGUUCUGCGAAUCUAAGACAUUUAGCUCACUACGCAGCCUGCAAAAGGUCUUCUCAUCUAGAGGCUUGGUAAAGAUAUCGGCUAGCUGGUUCUCGGUGCUAACAUGAAACACUUCGAUAUCCCCCUUUUGCUGGUGGUCUCUCAAAAAGUGAUGCCGGAUGUCUAUGUGCUUUGUGCGGCUGUGCUCAACAGGAUUCUCCGCCAUGCGGAUAGCACUCUCAUUAUCACAUAGGAGUGGGACUUUGCUCAGAUUGUAGCCAAAGUCCCGGAGGGUUUGCCUCAUCCAAAGUAGUUGCGCGCAACACUGUCCUGCGGCAACAUACUCGGCCUCAGCGGUGGAUAGGGCAACGGAAGUUUGUUUCUUAGAAUUCCAUGACACCAGGGACCUUCCUAAGAACUGGCACGUCCCCGAUGUACUCUUCCUAUCGACCUUACAUCCAGCAUAGUCGGAGUCUGAGUAUCCAACUAAGUCAAAGGUAGACCCCUUUGGAUACCAGAGCCCGAAGCAAGGCGUAGCAACCAAAUAUCUAAGAAUUCGCUUCACCGCCACUAAGUGACACUCCUUAGGGUCGGAUUGAAAUCUAGCACACAUGCAUACGCUAAGCAUAAUAUCCGGUCUACUAGCACAUAAGUAAAGUAAUGACCCUAUCAUUGAUCGGUAUGCUUUUUGAUCAACGGACUUACCUCCUUUGUUGAGGUCGGUGUGUCCGUCGGUUCCCAUUGGCGUCUUUGCGGGCUUGGCGUCCUUCAUCCCAAACCGUUUUAGCAGAUCUUGCGUGUACUUCGUUUGGGAGAUGAAGGUGUCGUCCUUGAGUUGCUUCACUUGGAACCCAAGGAAGAAGUUCAACUCGCCCAUCAUCGACAUCUCGAAUUUCUGCGUCAUCACCCUGCUAAACUCUUCACAAGACUUUUGGUUAGUAGAACCAAAUAUUAUGUCAUCGACAUAAAUUUGGCAUACAAACAAAUCACCAUCAUAUGUCUUUGUAAAAAGAGUUGGAUCGGCUUUCCCAACCUUGAAAGCAUUAGAAAUUAAAAAGUCUCUAAGGCAUUCAUACCAUGCUCUUGGGGCUUGCUUAAGCCCAUAGAGCGCCUUAGAAAGCUUACACACGUGGUCGGGGUACCGUUCAUCCUCAAAGCCAGGGGGUUGCUCCACGUACACCUCCUCCUUGAUUGGCCCGUUGAGGAAAGCGCUCUUCACAUCCAUUUGGUAUAACCUGAAAGAAUGGUGAGCGGCAUAUGCUAGCAAGAUACGAAUAGACUCUAGCCUAGCCACAGGAGCAAAAGUCUCCUCAAAGUCCAAACCUGCGACUUGGGCAUAACCUUUUGCCACAAGUCGAGCCUUGUUCCUCGUCACCACCCCGUGCUCGUCCUGUUUGUUGCGGAACACCCACUUGGUUCCCACAACAUUUUGCUUCGGACGAGGCACCAGUGUCCAAACUUCAUUGCGCUUGAAGUUGUUAAGCUCCUCUUGCAUGGCCAACACCCAGUCCGGAUCUAGCAAGGCCUCCUCUACCCUGAAAGGCUCAAUAGAAGAGACAAAGGAGUAAUGCUCACAAAAAUUAGCUAAUCGAGAUCGAGUGGUUACUCCCUUGCUAAUGUCACCCAGAAUUUGGUCGAUUGGAUGAUCCCUUUGAAUCAUUGCUCGAACUUGGGUUGGAGGUGCCGGUUGCGCUUCUUCCUCCAUCACUUGAUCAUCUUGUGCUCCCCCUUGAUCAAGCGUCUCCACUUGAGGUACCUGUUCGUCAUUUUCGGUUGGGGGAUGCACCAUAGUCGAAGAAGAAGGUCGAUCUCGUUCAUCUUGUUCCUGUGGCCGUACUUCUCCAAUCGUCAUGGUUCGAAUAGCAGCCGCUGGAACAUCUUCUUCAUCUACAUCAACACAAUCAACAACUUGCUCUCUUGGAGAGCCAUUAGUCUCAUCAAAUACAACGUCGCUAGAGACUUCAACCAAACCCGAUGAUUUGUUGAAGACUCUAUACGCCUUUGUAUUUGAGUCAUAACCUAACAAAAACCCUUCUACAGCUUUGGGAGCAAACUUAGAAUUUCUACCUUUCUUCACUAGAAUGUAGCACUUGCUCCCAAAUACACGAAAGUAAGAUACAUUGGGUUUGUUACCGGUUAGUAGCUCAUACGACGUCUUCUUGAGGAGGCGAUGAAGGUAGACCCUGUUGAUGGCGUGGCAAGCCGUAUUCACGGCUUCCGUCCAAAAGUACUCGGGGGUCUUGAACUCUCCUAGCAUCGUCCUCGCCAUGUCGAUGAGCGUCCUGUUCUUCCUCUCUACCACACCAUUUUGCUGUGGUGUGUAGGGAGCGGAGAACUCGUGCUUGAUCCCUUCCUCUUCAAGGAAUUCCUCCACUUGAAGGUUCUUGAACUCGGACCCGUUGUCGCUCCUUAUCUUCUUCACUUUGAGCUCAAACUCAUUUUGAGCUCUCCUUAGGAAGCGCUUGAGGGUCCCUUGGGUUUCAGACUUAUCCUGCAAAAAGAACACCCAAGUGAAGCGGGAAAAGUCAUCAACAAUAACCAGACCAUACUUACUUCCUCCUAUGCUCAGAUAGGCGACGGGUCCGAAGAGAUCCAUAUGCAACAGCUCCAGAGGUCUUGAAGUGGUCAUCACAUUCUUGCUGUGAUGCGCUCCUCCCACCUGUUUACCUGCUUGACAAGCUGCACAAGGUCUAUCUUUUUCGAAAUGCACGUUAGUCAAACCUAUCACGUGUUCUCCCUUUAGAAGCUUGUGAAGGUUCUUCAUCCCCACAUGUGCUAAGCGGCGAUGCCACAGCCAGCCCAUGCUAGUCUUAGCAAAUAAGCAUGCAUCUAGACCGGCCUCCUCUUUUGCAAAAUCAACUAAGUAAAGUUUGCCGUCUAAUACACCCUUAAAAGCUAGUGAACCAUCACUUCUUCUAAAGACAGACACAUCUACAUUUGUAAAUAGACAGUUAUACCCCAUGUUGCAUAAUUGACUGACAGAUAGCAAAUUAUAUCCAAGACUCUCUACUAAAAAUACAUUAGAGAUAGAAUGCUCAUUAGAAAUCGCAAUUUUACCUAACCCUUUUACCUUGCCUUGAUUCCCAUCACUGAAUAUGAUUGAAUCUUGGGAAUCCUUAUUCUUGACGUAGGAGGUGAACAUUUUCUUCUCCCCCGUCAUAUGGUUUGUGCAUCCGCUAUCAAUAAUCCAGCUUGAACCCCCGGAUGCAUAAACCUGCAAGGCAAAUUUAGGCUUGGGUCUUAGGUACCCAACUCAUGUUGGGUCCUACAAGGUUAGUGCAAAUAUCCUUAGGGACCCAAAUGCAAGUUUUGUCUCCCUUGCAUUUUGCCCCUAGCUUCCUAGCAACAAUUUUCUUAUCCUUUCUACAAAUUUUAAAGGAAGCAUUCAAAGCACAAUAAAUUGUAGAAGGUUCAUUCACUACUUUCCUAACAACAUUUCUCCUAGGCAUUUGAUGAACAACAUUUCUUCUAAGCCCAUUUCUACCAUGCAUAACAUGAGAACUAGAAGCAGUCAUAGCAUAAGAGUCAUAAGCAUGUGAAUCAAAAACAUCAUGACCUCUAAAAGCAUUUCUAGAAUAUCUCCUAUCAUAGUACAUGAAAGCAUGAUUCUUCUUAACACUAUUAGCCAUAGGAGCCUUCCCUUUCUCCUUGGUGGAGAUGGGAGUCUUAUGGCUUGUUAAAUUCUUGGCUUCUCUCUUGAAGCCAAGUCCAUCCUUAAUUGAGGGAUGUCUUCCUAUUGUGUAGGCAUCCCUUGCAAAUUUUAACUUAUCAAAUUCACUUUUGCUAGUCUUAAGUUGGACAUUAAGACUAGUCACUUCAUUAUUUAACUUUGCAAUAGAGGCUAUGUGUUCACUACAAGCAUCAAUAUCAAAAUCUUUACAUCUAUUGCAAAUAGCAACAUUUUCUACACAAGUUGUUGAUUUACUAGCUAUUUCUAUCUUAACAUUCAACUCAUCGUUAAUGCUCUUUAAUUUAGAGAUUGUUUCAUGGCAUGAGGAUAAUUCACAAGUGAGCAUCUCAUUUCUUUUAACUUCUAGAGCAUGAGAUUUUUGAGCUUCUAAAAAUUUAUCAUGCUCUUCAUACAAUAAAUCCUCUUGUUUCUCUAAGAGUUUAUCCUUCUCAUUCAAUGCAUCAAUUAAUUCAUUAAUUUUGCCAAUUGUAGUUCUAUCUAGACCUUUAAAUACACUAGAAUAGUCUAUUUCAUCAUCGUCACUAGAAUCAUUAUCACUAGAAGAAGCAUAAGUAGAGUUUCGAGUACUUACCUUCUUCUCCUUAGCCAUGAGACACGUGUGACGCUCGUUGGGGAAGAGGGCCGAUUUGUUGAAGGCGGUGGCAGCGAGUCCCUCAUUGUCGGAGUCGGAGGAGGAGCAAUCCGAAUCCCACUCCUUGCCUAGAUGCGCCUCGCCCUUGGCUUUCUUGUAGUGCUUCUUCUUCUCCCUUUUGUUCCCCUUUUCCUGGUCACUUUCAUUAUCAGGACAGUUAGCAAUAAAAUGACCAAGCUUACCGCAUUUGAAGCAUGAUCGCUUCCCCUUGGUCUUGGUCUUGCUCGGCUGUCCAUUGCGACCCUUAAGCACCGUCUUGAAUCUCUUGAUGAUGAGGGCCAUUUCUUCAUCAUUAAGACCGGCUGCCUCAAUUUGCGCCACCUUGCUGGGUAGUGCCUCCUUGCUCCUUGUGGCUUUGAGAGCAAAAGGUUGCGGUUCGUUGAUCGGUCCAUUCAAGGCGUCGUCCACAUACCUUGCCUCCUUGAUCAUCAUUCGCCCGCUGACGAAUUUUCCUAGGACUUCUUCGGGCGACAUUUUGGUGUACCUGGGAUUCUCACGAAUAUUAUUCACCAAAUGAGGAUCAAGAACGGUAAAGGACCUGAGCAUUAGUCGGACGACGUCGUGGUCCGUCCAUCGCGUGCUUCCGUAGCUCCUUAUUUUGUUGAUAAGGGUCUUGAGCCGGUUGUAUGUCUGAGUUGGCUCCUCGCCCCUUAUCAUCGCGAACCGUCCAAGCUCGCCUUCCACCAACUCCGUUUUGGUGAGCAAGGUAACGUCAUUUCCUUCAUGAGAGAUCUUGAGGGUGUCCCAGAUCUGCUUGGCGUUAUCCAAGCCGCUCACUUUGUUAUAUUCGUCCCUGCACAAUGAAGCUAGAAGAACAGUGGUAGCUUGUGUAUUCUUAUGGAUUUGCUCAUUAAUAAAUGAAGGGCUAUCCGAGCUAUCAAAUUUCAUUCCAUUUUCCACAAUCUCCCAAAUGCUUGGAUGGAGAGAAAAUAGGUGAGUACGCAUUUUGUGACUCCAAAAUCCGUAGUCCUCUCCAUCAAAGUGAGGAGGCUUGCCAAGUGGAAUGGGGAGCAAAUGAGCAUUUGAGCUAUAUGGAAUGCGCGAAUAAUCAAAAGAAAAGUUUGAGUUAACCGUCUUUUGUUUGUCGUGGUCGUCGUCCUUUUGGGAAGAAGAGGACUCAUCGCUGUCGUAGUAGACGAUCUCCUUGAUGCGUCUUGUCUUCUUCUUCUUCCCAUCUUUUCGCUUGUGGCCCGAGCCCGAGUCAUUGGACUUGUCAUCCCUUGGCUCGUUGACGAAGGACUCCUUCUCCUUGUCGUUGAUCACAAUUCCCUUCCCCUUAGGAUCCAUCUCUUCGGGCGGUUAGUCCCUUUCUUGAAGAGAACGGCUCUGAUACCUAUUGAGAGCACCUAGAGGGGGGGUGAAUAGGUGAUCCUGUAAAAACUUAAACUUAUAGCCACAAAACUUGAUUAGGCGUUAGCACAGUUUAUGCCAAGUGGCUAGAGAGGAGUCAAAACACAAUAACCACAAGAAUCCAAUCACAGAGAUGACACAGUGGUUAUCCCGUGGUUCGGCCAAGUACAAAACUUGCCUACUCCACGUUGUGGCGUCCCAACGGACGAGAGUUGCACUCAACUCCUCUCAAGUGAUCCAAUGAUCAACUUGAAUACCACGGUGUUCUUGCUUUUCUUUUCUCAAUCCCGUUUGCGAGGAAUCUCCACAACUUGGAGCCUCUCGCCCUUACAAAAGAUGUUCACAGAGAAUCACAGAGCAAGGGAGGGAUUAGCAACUCACACACGACUCAAAGAUCACAGCGAAUACGCACACACAAGACCAAGACUUGAGCUCAAAAGACUAGCACACUAGAACGGAGCUCAAAUCACUAGAAUGUCGAACAAGUGCGCGAGAUUGAUGUGUGAGUGAUCAAGAGUGCUCAAGGAAUGCUUGGGUGUACUCCUCCAUGCGCCUAGGGGUCCCUUUUAUAGCCCCAAGGCAGCUAGGAGCCGUUGAGAACACAUCUGGAAGGCUAUCCUUGCCUUCUGUCGUCGGGCGCACCGGACAGUCCGGUGCACACCGGACACUGUCCGGUGCCCGAUUUGUUUCCUUAAUAGGCGCAGCCGACCGUUGCAGACCGUUGCAGAUCUGGCGCACCGGACAGUCCGGUGCACACCGGACAGUCCGGUGCUUCCUUCCGACCGUUGGCUCGGCCACGUGUCGCGCGCCGAUCGCGCGGCCGACCGUUGGCUCACCGGACAGUCCGGUGCACACCGGACAGUCUGGUGAAUUUUAGCCGAAGUCGCCGGAGAAAAAACCCGAGAGCGGCCUCUUCGGCCGAGGCAGCCUGGCGCACCGGACACUGUCCGGUGCACCACCGGACACUGUCCGGUGCACCACCGGACAGUCCGGUGCACCAGACCGAAACAGCCCCUUGGCUGUACACAGCCAAGUCUUCUCUUCUCUUCUUCUUUCUGUUUCUAACACUUAGACAAGAUAUUAGUACACAAAACCAAUGUACUAAGGCUUAGAAACAUACCUUUACUUGUGAUUUGCACUUUGUUCAACCGUGGGCACAUUUUCACAUUUAAGCACUUGUGUUUGCACUCAAUCACCAAAAUACUUAGAAAUGGCCCAAGGGCACAUUUCCCUUUCACCUCUCAGCUCCACCAUCACCGCGCCCGCCGUGGACCAGCGCGCGCGCACUCGCGCACGUCGCCAGAAUCCUCGGCCACGUCGCUCUGCCCACGCCCCCAGCCCUUUUUGAGCCCCACCCAUGCCCACACUCACUCCCCCGCCUCAGUUCACGCAUUCCCGUUCUCUCUCACGCUCUGCUCACGCUGCCAGACCUCGCCGGAGACCGGCGCCCGCUUCCCUGGCCAUCUAGCUCGCCGGAGACCGCGCCAAGCAGCCUCGAGCUCCGCCUCGAGGUGAGACACAUGUUCCCAUGCUUAAUUUCCCCAGUUAUGCUUUGUCGUCAGCCAAUUUCGGCUUUGGCGGAGUUCGACCGUGGCGGUCCGCCGUGCCCGCGCGGUGUCCGGCCAAAUUAGCUCGGCCCAGUACCCCUGCGAUGGUUCCUCUGUUACCCCCCUCUGCUGAAGCUAUCCCAGGCUUUAGCGCACCUCAAGCCCUCUCCCCGUGGCCGGAAUCCCUCACCGGAGUUCCUCCGACCCACCCGAAGCUUCUUCCCCGCCGUUUCCCCCUCUCUGCCCUCGGUCUCGUGGCCGUAACCCCGCCAUCGAGUUCGCCGGGUCAUUCUCCCCUUCUCUGACCAACUCCGGCGACCCCGGAACCACCCUAGCCCGCGCCCGCCCCAACUCCGGCGACUUCACCGCUAUGGGAUGGAGCGGCGCCGCCCGCAGCCGUUCACCCCGCCUGAUUAAUCUCUCCCAUCCGAUCUUGAUCGCACGACCCAGAUCGCGGGAUACCGCUUCGCGCACGCGCGCCCUGCGCCCGGUGAAAGUCGCCUAGAGGGGGGGGGGGGGUGAAUAGGGCGAAACUGAAAUUUGCAAAGUUAAUCACAACUACAAGCCGGGUUAGCGUUAGAAAUAUAAUCGAGUCCGCGAGAGAGAGGGUGCAAAGCAAAUCACAAGCGAAUAAGAAGUGUGACACGCGGAUUUGUUUUACCGAGGUUCGGUUCUCGCAACCCUACUCCCCGUUGAGGUGGUCACAAAGACUGGGUCUCUUUCAACCCUUUCCCUCUCUCAAACGGUCCCUCGGACCGAGUGAGCUUUCUCUUCUCAAAUCAACCGUGAACAAAACUUCCCCGCAAGGACCACCACACAAUUGGUGUCUCUUGCCUUGGUUACAAGUGAGUGUUUGAUCACAAGAAAGAAUGAGAAAGAAGAAAGCGAUCCAAGCGCAAGAGCUCAAAAGAACACAACAAAUCACUCUCACUAGUCACUAAAGCUUUUGUGGAAUUGGGAGAGGAUUUAAUCACUUGAGUGUGUAUUGUAUUGAAUGCCUAGCUCUUGUAAGUGGUUGGAAGGUUGAAAACUUGGAUGCAAUGAAUGGUGGGUGGUUAGGGGUAUUUAUAGCCCCAACCACCAAACUAGCCGUUUGGUGGGUCUGUCUGUCGCAUGGUGCACCGGACAGUCCGGUGCACACCGGACAGUGUCCGGUGCGCCAGCCACGUCACCAGGCCGUUGGGUUCCGACCGUUGGAGCUCUGACUUAUGGGCCCGCCUGGAUGUCCGGUGGCACACCGGACAUGCACUGUAGAGUGUCCGGUGCGCCACUUCGCGCGUGCCUGACUUCUGCGCGCUCUAGCGCGCAUUUAAUGCCUCUGUAGGUGACCGUUGGCGCGAGGUAGCCGUUACUCCGCUGGCUCACCGGACAGUCCGAUGCACACCGGACAUGUCCGGUGAAUUAUAGCGGAGCAAAUUCCCGAAGCUGGGGAGUUCCAGAGUUGCUCUUCCUUGGGGCACCGGACACUGUCCGGUGUACACCGAACAGUCCGGUGAAUUAUAGCGGAGCGCCUCUGAAUUUUCCCGAAGGUGAGGAGUUCAGCGUGAAGUCCCCUGGUGCACCGAACACUGUCCGGUGGCACACCGGACAGUCCGGUGCGCUAGACAGGGCACACUUCGGUUAUCCCUUGCUCUCUUUGUUGAACCCAAUUCUUGGUCUUUUUAUUGGCUAAGUGUGAACAUUUGGCACCUGUAUAAUUUAUACUCUAGAGCAAACUAGUUAGUCCAAUUAUUUGUGUUGGGCAAUUCAACCACCAAAAUCAAUUAGGAAAUAGGUGUAGGCCUAAUUCCCAUUCAAUCUCCCCCUUUUUGGUAAUUGAUGCCAACACAAACCAAAGCAAAUAUAGAAGUGCAUAAUUGAACUAGUUUGCAUAAUGUAAGUGCAAAGGUUGCUUGGAAUUGAGCCAGUAUAAAUACUUAUAAGAUGCGCAUGGAUUGUUUCUUCAUUUUUAACAUUUUGGACCACGCUUGCACCACAUGUUUUGUUUUCGCAAAUUCUUUUGUAAAUCUUUUCAAAGUUCUUUUGCAAAUAGUCAAAGGUAAAUGAAUAAGAUUUUGCGAAGCAUUUUCAAUAUUUGAAAUUCUCCCCCGGUUUCAAAUGCUUUUCCUUUGACUUAACAAAACUCCCCCUAGAUGAAAUCCUCCUCUUAGUGUUCAAGAGGGUUUUGAUAUAUCAAUUUGAAAUACUACUUUCUCCCCUUUUGAACAUAAUAGGAUACCAAUUUGAAAUUUCCAAUUGAAAAUCAUUUUAAAAUUAGGUGGUGGUGUGGUCCUUUUGCUUUGGGCUAAUACUUUCUCCCCCUUUGGCUUGAAUCACCAAAAAUGGAGUCAUUAGAGCCCUUAGAAUUACUUUCUCCCCCUUUGGUCAUAAAUAAAUGAGUGAAGAUUAUACCAAAGACGGAGUCCUUCUCCCCCAAAGGUGGAGAGUGGCUCGGAGCGACGGCGAAGGAUGAGUUACGCAGUGGAAGCCUUUGUCUUCGCCGAAGACUCCAAUUCCCUUUCAAUACACCUAUGACUUGCUUUGAAAUAGACUUGAAAACACAUUAGUCAUAGCAUAUAUAAAAGAGACAUGAUCAAGGUAUAUAUAAUGAGCGAUGUGUGCAAAUCAACAAAAGAAGUUCCUAGAAUCAAGAAUAUUUAGCUCAUGCCUAAGUUUGUUAAAAGUUUGUUCAUCAAGUGGCUUGGUAAAGAUAUCGGCUAAUUGAUCCUUAGUAUUAAUGUAUGAAAUCUCGAUAUCUCCCUUUUGUUGGUGAUCCCUUAAAAAGUGAUACUGAAUGGCUAUGUGUUUAGUGUGGCUAUGCUCAACGGGAUUAUCCGCCAUGCGGAUUGCACUCUCAUUAUCACAUAGAAGAGGAACUUUGGUUAGUUUGUAACCGUAGUCCCUAAGAGUUUGCCUCAUCCAAAGCAAUUGCGCGCAAUAAUGACCUGCGGCAAUAUACUCGGCUUCGGCGGUAGAAAGAGCUACGAAAUUUUGCUUCUUUGAAGCCCAAGACACCAAGGAUCUUCCCAAGAACUGGCAAGUCCCCGAUGUGCUCUUUCUAUUAAUUUUACACCCCGCCCAAUCGGCAUCAAAAUAACCAAUCAAAUCGAACGUGGAUCCCCUAGGAUACCAAAGCCCAAACUUAGGGGUAUAAACUAAAUAUCUCAAGAUUCGUUUUACGGCCGUAAGGUGAGCUUCCUUAGGGUCGGCUUGGAAUCUUGCACACAUGCAUAUGGAAAGCAUUAUAUCCGGUCGUGAUGCACAUAAAUAUAGCAAAGAGCCUAUCAUCGACCGGUAUACCUUUUGAUCGACGGAUUUACCUUCCGUGUCGAGGUCGAGAUGCCCAUUGGUUCCCAUGGGUGUCUUGAUGGGUUUAGCAUCCUUCAUCCCAAACUUGCUUAGAAUAUCUUGAGUAUACUUUGUUUGGCUUAGGAAGGUGCCCUCUUGGAAUUGCUUCACUUGAAAUCCUAAGAAAUACUUUAACUCCCCCAUCAUUGACAUCUCGAAUUUUUGUGUCAUGAUCCUACUAAACUCUUCACAUGUAGAUUCGUUAGUAGACCCAAAUAUGAUAUCAUCAACAUAAAUUUGGCAUACAAACAAAUUAUUUUCAAGAGUUUUGGUAAAGAGUGUAGGAUCGGCCUUUCCGACUUUGAAUCCAUUAGUGAUAAGAAAAUCUCUAAGGCAUUCAUACCAUGCUCUUGGAGCUUGCUUUAGCCCAUAAAGCACCUUAGAGAGUUUAUAAACAUGGUUAGGGUACUCACUAUCUUCAAAGCCGGGAGGUUGCUCAACAUAGACCUCUUCUUUGAUUGGUCCAUUGAGGAAGGCACUCUUCACGUCCAUUUGAUAAAGAUUGAACCAUGGUAAGUAGCAUAGGCCAAUAAUAUACGAAUUGACUCAAUCCUAGCUACGGGUGCAUAGGUUUCACCGAAAUCCAAACCUUCGACUUGGGAGUAUCCUUUGGCCACAAGUCAGGCUUUGUUCCUUGUCACCACACCAUGCUCGUCUUGCUUGUUGCGGAACACCCAUUUGGUUCCUACAACAUUUUGGUUAGAACGUGGAACUAAGUGCCAUACCUCAUUCCUAGUGAAGUUGUUGAGCUCCUCUUGCAUUGCCACCACCCAAUCCGAAUCUUGUAGUGCUUCCUUUACCCUGUGUGGCUCAAUAGAGGAAACAAAAGAGUAAUGCUCACAAAAAUGUGCAACACGAGAUCUAGUAGUUACCCCCUUAUGAAUGUCGCCGAUGAUGGUGUCGACGGGGUGAUCUCGUUGGAUUGCUUGGUGGACUCUUGGGUGUGGCGGUCUUGGUUCUUCAUCCUCCUUGUCUUGAUCAUUGCCGUCAUCUUGAGGUGGCUCAUUUGCUUGAUCUUCUUCUUCAUCAACUUGAGCCUCAUCCUCAUUUUGAGUUGGUGGAGAUGCUUGCGUGGAGGAGGAUGGUUGAUCUUGUGCAUUUGGAGGCUCUUCGGAUUCCUUAGGACACACAUCCCCAAUGGAUAUGUUCCUUAGCGCGAUGCAUGGAGCCUCUUCAUCACCUAUCUCAUCAAGAUCAACUUGCUCUACUUGAGAGCCAUUAGUCUCAUCAAACACAACGUCACAAGAAACUUCAACUUGUCUAGAGGACUUGUUAAAGACUCUAUAUGCCCUUGUGUUUGAAUCAUAUCCUAGUAAAAAGCCUUCUACAGUCUUAGGAGCAAAUUUAGAUUUUAUACCUCUUUUAACAAGAAUAAAACAUUUGCUACCAAAGACUCUAAAAUAUGAAAUGUUGGGCUUUUUACCGGUUAGAAGUUCAUAAGAUGUCUUCUUGAGGAUUCGGUGUAGAUACAAUCGGUUGAUGGCGUAGCAGGAGGUGUUGACUGCCUCGGCCCAAAACCGAUCCGAUGUCUUGUACUCAUCAAGCAUGGUUCUUGCCAUGUCCAAUAGAGUUCGAUUCUUCCUCUCCACUACACCAUUUUGUUGUGGCGCGUAGGGAGAAGAGAACUCAUGCUUGAUGCCUUCCUCCUCAAGGAAUCCUUCGAUUUGUGAGUUCUUGAACUCCGUCCUGUUGUCGCUUCUUAUUUUCUUGAUCCUUAAGCCGAACUCAUUUUGAGCUCGUCUCAAGAAUCCCUUUAAGGUCUCUUGGGUAUGAGAUUUUUCCUGCAAAAAGAAUACCCAAGUGAAGCGAGAAUAAUCAUCCACAAUAACUAGACAGUACUUACUCCCGCCGAUGCUUAUGUAAGCUAUCGGGCCGAAUAGGUCCAUGUGUAGGAGCUCCAGUGGCCUGUCAGUUGUCAUGAUGUUCUUGUGUGAAUGAUGGGCACCAACUUGCUUCCCUGCUUGGCAUGCGCUACAAAUCCUGUCUUUCUCAAAAUGAACAUUUGUUAAUCCUAAAAUGUGUUCUCCCUUUAGAAGCUUAUGAAGAUUCUUCAUCCCAACAUGGGCUAGUCGGCGGUGCCAGAGCCAACCCAUGUUAGUCUUAGCAAUUAAGCAAGUGUUGAGUUCAGCUCUAUCAAAAUCUACCAAGUAUAGCUGACCCUCUAACACUCCCUUAAAUGCUAUUGAAUCAUCACUUCUUCUAAAGACAAUGACACCUACAUCAGUGAACAGACAGUUGUAGCCCAUUUGACAUAAUUGAGAAACAGAAAGAAAAUUGUAAUCUAAAGAAUCUACAAGAAAAACAUUGGAAAUGGAAUGGUCAGGUGAUAUAGCAAUUUUAACCAAUCUUUUGACCAAACCUUGAUUUCCAUCCCCGAAUGUGAUAGCUCGUUGGGGAUCUUGGUUUUUCUCAUAGGAGAACAUUUUCUUCUCCCCUGUCAUGUGGUUUGUGCACCCGCUGUCGAUGAUCCAACUUGAGCCCCCGGAUGCAUAAACCUACAAAACAAGUUUAGUUCUUCACUUUAGGUACCCAAAUGGUUUUGGGUCCUUUGGCAUUAGAUACAAGAACUUUGGGUACCCAAACACAAGUCUUUGACCCCUUGUGCUUGCCCCCAACAUACUUGGCAACUACCUUGCCGGAUUUGUUAGUUAAAACAUAUGAUGCAUCAAAAGUUUUAAAUGAAAUGAGAUGUUCAUUUGAUGCACUAGGAGUUUUCUUCUUAGGCAACUUAGCAUGGGUUGGUUGCCUAGAAUUAGAUUUCUCACCCUUAUACAUGAAAGCAUGGUUAGGACCAGAGUGAGACUUCCUAGAGUGAAUUUUCCUAAUUUUGCUCUCGGGAUAACCGGCAGGGUACAAAAUGUAACCCUCAUUAUCCUGAGGCAUGGGAGCCUUGCCCUUAACAAAAUUAGACAAUUUCUUAGGAGGGGCAUUAAGUUUGACAUUGCCUCCCUGUUGGAAGCCAAUGCCAUCCUUAAUGCCAGGGCGUCUCCCUCUAUAGAGCAUGUUUCUAGCAAAUUUAAACUUUUCAUUCUCUAAGUCAUGCUCGGCAAUUUUAGCAUCUAAUUUUGCUAUAUGAUCAUUUUGUUGUUUAAUUAAAGCCAUGUGAUCAUGAAUAGCAUCAAUGUUAACAUCUCUACAUCUAGUACAAAUAGAAGUAUGUUCAACAGUAGAUGUAGAGGGUUUGCAAGAUUUUAAUUCUACAACCUUAGCAUGCAAUAUGUCAUUUUUACUUCUAAGGUCGGAAAUGGUAGCAUUGCAAACAUCAAAAUCUUUAGCCUUAGCAAGCAAUUUUUCAUUUUCAUUUCUAAGGCUAGCAAGAGAUAUGUUCAAUUCUUCAAUCUGAGCAAGCAAAUCAUCAUUAUCAUUUCUAAGAUUUGGAAUUGAAACAUUACAAGCAAUAGAAUCAACUUUAACUAACAAAUUAGAAUUUUCAUUUUCUAAGGUUGUCUAUAGUCUCAUGGCAAGUGCUUAGCUCACUAGAUAAUUUUCACAUUUUUCAACUUCUAGAGCAUAGGCAUUUUUAACUUUAACAUGCUUUUUGUUUUCCUUGAUUAGGAAGUCCUCUUGGGAGUCCAAGAGAUCAUCCUUCUCAUGGAUGGCACUAAUCAAUUCAUUUAAUUUCUCUUUUUGUUGCAUGUUUAAGUUGGCAAAAAGGGUACGCAAGUUAUCUUCCUCAUCACUAGCAUUAUCAUCACUAGAGGAUUCAUAUCUAGUGGAGGAUUUAGAUUUAACCUUUUUCUUUUUGCCGUCCUUUGCCAUGAGGCACUUGUGGCCGACGUUGGGGAAGAGGAGUCCCUUGGUGACCGCGAUGUUGGCGGCGUCCUCGUCGUCAGAGGAGUCGCUAGAGCUUUCGUCGGAGUCCCACUCCCGACAAAUAUGGGCAUCGCCGCCCUUCUUCUUGUAGUACCUCUUCUUUUCCUUUCUUCUCCCCUUUUUGUCGUCACCCCUGUCACUGUCACUAGAGAUAGGACAUUUUGCUAUAAAGUGACCGGGCUUACCACACUUGUAGCAAACCUUCUUGGAGCGAGGCUUGUAAUCUUUUCCCCUCCUUUGCUUGAGGAUUUGGCGAAAGCUUUUGAUGACAAGCGCCAUUUCCUCGUUGUCGAGCUUGGAGGCGUCGAUGGGUGUUCUACUUGGUGUAGACUCCUCCUUCUUUUCUUCUGUCGCUUUGAAUGCGACCGGUUGAGCUUCGAACGUAGAAGGACCGUCAAGCUCGUUGAUCUUCCGUGAGCCCUUGAUCAUAAAUUCAAAGCUCAAAAAAUUCCCGAUUACUUCCUCGGGAGUCAUUAGUGUAUAUCUUGGAUUGCCACGAAUUAAUUGUACUUGAGUAGGGUUAAGGAAAAUAAGUGAUCUUAAAAUAACCUUAACCACCUCGUGGUCAUCCCACUUUUUGCUCCCGAGGUUGCGCACUUGAUUCACCAAGGUUUUGAGCUGGUUGUACAUGUCUUGUGGCUCCUCCCCUUGGCGUAGACAGAAGCGACCGAGCUCCCCCUCGAUCGUUUCCCGCUUGGUGAUCUUGGUGAGUUCAUCACCCUCGUGCGCGGUCUUGAGCACGUCCCAAACUUCCUUGACGCUCUUUAAUCCUUGCACCUUGUUGUACUCCUACCUACUUAGAGAGGCGAGGAG
rnacentral:lncRNA from 1 species